AUGGAGCUAAGAAUGAACUGCUCUAGUUUGGAUGUGCAGCCACUCUGGGCACAGAAACUCAGCCAACCACUAAAGAUCAAUGUGAUGGGGGAAGAUUCCUCAAGAGAUCAUCAAACCUCAGUCUUACAAGGACUCAGUGGAGCUCUGAUGACUACUAUCUUGUGUGGGAUCUAAUAGGGGUCCCACUGAUCUAGAGACCAACAGCCUGGGGACCCAAGACAGCUGCUCUUUGACCAGAGCCUGUCCACCUGGACACCGAGGGACCUGCCUUGCUGCGUCACAUGUAUCUGUGACUAAGAAGAGAUUGGACUGGUUACUGCCUAGCUCUGUAGCCCAGUCGGCUCACAUAGUCCAGGGAAAAGGGAUUUGUUAGACACAGGGACUAGGACUUGGCAAACCCACCUGGGGUGGGGGAGUGCUUCUGAAAAGGGUCUACUUAGAAUUAAAGGCUGGGAGAGAAAUCCUGUGUCACUCUGAUGUCCAACAUAGCCAUACAAGCUGGCUGCCACUCCUGGCUAUGACUUAACCUUCUGACAGCUCUUCUCCAAUUGGACUUCUGGGUUUCUACCUGGACAAAAGGAGCCUAGGCAGAGAAUUCAGAGCUUUUGGCCUGCAUAGGUUGAAAAUGCAGCAGAGCAGAAUGAAGAUUAGAUGGAACUGAAUACUGGAACAUACUACAAUUGUCCCUUGAUCUCUGUGGGGCAUUGGUUCCAGGACCUCCCACAGAUAUCAAAAUCUGAAGAUGCUCAAGUCCCUAGUAUAAAAUGGCACAAUAUUUGCAUAUAACCUUCGUACCUCCUCUGUAUACUUUAAUUGUCUCUAGAUUACAGUCAUGUGCCACAUAACAAUGUUUAAGUCAACUAUGGGCCACAUAUGCAAUGGGGUCCCAUAAGAUUAUAACGGAGCUGAAAAAUUGCUUAGUGACAUCGUCACCCUCAUAAGGACAUAGUGCAAUGCAUCAUUCAUGGGUUGUGAUGAUAACCAUUCACAUGGUUUCUUGUGUAAACAAACCUACUGCACUGUCAGUUGUAUAAAAGUAUAGCACAUACAAUUAUGUGCAGUGCAUAAUACUUGGUAAGAUAAUAAAAGACUAUGUUACUGGUUUAUGUGUUUAGUAUAUUAUACUAUACUUUUUAUCAUUAGAGUGUACUCCUUCUACUUAUAAGAAAUUAACUGUAAAAUAGCCUCAGGAGGUCUUCCAGGAGGUAUUCCUGAAGAAGACACUGUUAGCACAGGAGGUGACAGCUCCAUGCAUGUUGUUCUCUCUGAAGCCCUUCCAGUGGGACAAGAGGUGGAGGUGGAAGACAGUGAUAGUGAUGACCCUGACCCUGUGCAGGCCUAGACUAAUGUGUGUGUUUGUGUCUUCAUUUUUAACAAAAAUAUUUAAAGUUUUAAAGAGUAAAAAAAAUCUUUAAAAAAUAGAUAAAAGCUCAUAGAAUAAGGACAUAAAGAAUUUUUGUGCAGGUAUACGAUGUGUUUCAAGCCAAAUGUUAUUACAAAAGAGUAAAAAUUUACAAAAAUAGAAAGUUUACAAAGGAAAAAUGUUACAGUAAGUUCAGGUUAAUCUAUUACUGAAGAAAAAUAUUUGGUGCAGCCUGUGUCCAGUGUUAUAAAGUCUACGAUAGUGUGCAGCGAUGUCCCAGGCCUUCACAUUCACUCCCCACUUACUGACUCACCCAGAGCAACUUCAAGUCCUGCAAGCUCCAUUUAUUCAUUUUUAAUCUUUUAUACUGUAUUUUUACUGUGCUUUUCUUUGUUUACGUAUGUUUAACUAUACAAAUCCUUACUGUUGUGUUACAGUUGCCUACGGUAUUCAGUACAGAACAGGCUGUACAGGUUUGUAGCGUAGGAGCAACAGGCUAUCCCAUAUAGCCUAGGUAUGUGGUAGGCUAAACCGUCUAGGUUUGUGUAAGUACACCCUGCGAUGUUUGCACAACAAAACCACCUAAUGACACAUCUCUCAGACCAUAUCCCUAUUGUUAAUGGAUGCAUAACUGUACUUAUAAUACCUAAUAAAAUGUAAAUACUAUGUAAGUAGUUGUUAUACUGUAUUGUUUUGGAAAUAAUGAAGAGAAUAAAAGUCUGUAUAUGUUUAGGAUAGACGUGGCCGGGCACAGUGGCUCAAGCCUGUAAUUCCAGCACUUUGGGAGGCCGAGGCGGGUGGAUCACGAGGUCAAGAGAUCGUGACCAUCCUGGUCAACAUGGUGAAACCUCGUCUCUACUAAAAAUACAAAAAAUUAUCUGGGCAUGGUGGCGCGUGCCUGUAAUCCCAGCUACUCAGGAGGCUGAGGCAGGAGAAUUGCCUGAACCCAGGAGGCGGAGGUUGCGGUGAGCCGAGAUCGUGCCAUUGCACUCCAGCCUGGGUACCAAGAGCGAAACUCCAUCUCAAAAAAAAAAAAGGAUAGAUGCCACUUUUUUUUCAAAUAUUUUCUAUCCACACUUGGUUGAAUCCGUGGCUAUGAAACUUUUGUAUAUGGAGGGCCAACUGUAUAUAGAAUUGUAGUUUGUGGCCACACACAGUGGCUCACACCUGUAAUCCCAGCACUUUGGGAGGCCAAGGUGGGUGGAUCACCUGAGGUCAGGAGUUCGAGACCAGCCUGAUCAACAUGAUGAAACCAUCUCUACAAAAAAAUACAACAAUUAACUGGGCAUGGUGGUGGACACCUGUAAUCCCAGCUACUUGGGAGGCUGAGGCAGGAGAAUGGUUUGAACCCGGGAAGCGGAGAUGGCAGUGAGCUGAGAUCUCACCAUUGCACUCUAGCCUGGGCAACAAGAGCGAAACUCCAUCUCAAAAAAAAAAAAAAAAAAGGAGAGAGAGAGUUGUUGUUUGCUGGAUCUGUACUCAACAGAGCAGAAAUUACCUCAAUAGUAAAUAUUCUACAGUUCUCAUUUUAGCUGUUCUCAACAACUUUUUGGGGUUUGCAUAGGUGAUGCUCAACUUUGAGAUGUUCCAGUUUUCACAUAACUUUCAUUUACAUCUCUAUCACUUCUGUAACUAUACACUGAUAGCUCAGAUACUUCAUCCUUUGGCUGAUGGAUGGCGAUUUUGCCUUCGCUCUUGCAUGGCCAGUUGCUAAGUUCUUCUGCUUGGGGAUAAAAGGCUGGGUCUCUAUAG
ensembl:lncRNA